rnacentral:rRNA from 1 species
UACGAAGGUCCCAAGCGUUAUCCGGAUUUAUUGGGUUUAAAGGGUGCGUAGGCGGGUUAUUAAGUCAGUGGUGAAAGCUCCAUGCCUAACAUGGAAAUUGGCCAUUGAUACUGAUGAUCUUGAGUACAUUUGAAGUGGGCGGGAAUGUGUCAUGUAGUGGUGAAAUACUUAGAUAUGACACAGAACACCGAUUGCGUAGGCAGCUCACUAAACUGUAACUGACGCUGAGGCAGAAAGCGUGGGGAGCAAAC